CAGCAGCCGCGGUAAUACGUAGGUGGCAAGCGUUGUCCGGAAUUAUUGGGCGUAAAGGGCUCGCAGGCGGUUUCUUAAGUCUGAUGUGAAAGCCCCCGGCUCAACCGGGGAGGGUCAUUGGAAACUGGGAAACUUGAGUGCAGAAGAGGAGAGUGGAAUUCCACGUGUAGCGGUGAAAUGCGUAGAGAUGUGGAGGAACACCAGUGGCGAAGGCGACUCUCUGGUCUGUAACUGACGCUGAGGAGCGAAAGCGUGGGGAGCAAACAGGAUUAGAUACCCCAGUAGUCCCUGUCUCUUAUAC
rnacentral:rRNA from 1 species